rnacentral:lncRNA from 1 species
ACUACAGAGAAGUGUGGAGCCCACGGAGAAAAUGGAAUCCAUUUAGCCCCAUGUGUGGUGCACACCUCUAAUCCCAGGACUCUGGGAAGCUGAGGCAGGAAGAUUGCAAGUUCAAGCCCAGCCUGGGGAACUUAGUGACUUCAGGAGACUCUUCAGGAAGGCAAGGCUGGAGGGCUGUAUAGCGACGGCCUCUUGCCUUCUCUGCUGCAGGAAACUAGGGCAAGCCGAGGUGGAGAAGAAGAAACAUACCCUGGUGCAAGGGACUUUGUCCCCAGCCCUGUUAGGCAACUUGGUCACAGUCCUGGGAGCUGAGCCCAGACCUGGAAAUGCCUCUCAGCUGGCAUGGGGAGGUCACUGUGUGCUGCCUGGUGAAGCAUGCACCUCCCAAGGGUGUCCGAGCCAGCAGGAAGGAAGAGGAUGUACGGGGCAGGGCCAAGGACGUUUGGUGCCAGCUGUGAGGAAAUCAGUAAGGCCCGAUCGGCACUCCGAGAAUGGACCAGAGAUGUGCAUAGCUGUUAGCCCUACCUGGGGUCCUGUGGCGCAGAAGUUCCGGGGACUACAGGAGCACAGAGCAGGACUCUUUUGUGGCAGAGCUAGCACCUUGCAGAUGUCGGGGCCAGGAUUUCCCAGAGGAGCGGGCAAUGUUGGGCAAAGGAAGAGUGGGUGUAUUGGGGCAGACAGAUAAGGCUAGCUGCUCUGGCAGAAGCCUGAGGUGAGGAAGGACAAGAGGAGCAGCCGCAGGAUUAUCUGAGAGCCGGGGACAGGGCGUGUUCAGGGAGACUGUGGGGCAGGAUGGAGGAGCUGGUGAGGUUGGGCAAUACUGCCCUCAGUUGCGGUACAGCUCUCUUAUUAUUCCCAUAGACCUUGGUCUUGAACAAGCAUCAGUGCCCUGAAUUACUCUUUUAUGAGCACUUUCCACAGAUCGGAUGAUGGCUCUAGUAUCUCUCCUAGUUCUUCUAUUCUCUGCCCUAAACCUUCCUGGUUCCU